AAUCACUUGUCUUUUAAAUGAAGACCUGUAUGAAUGGCAUAACGAGGGCUUAACUGUCUCCUCUUUUAAGUCAAUGAAAUUGAUCUCCCCGUGCAGAAGCGGGGAUACUUCCAUAAGACGAGAAGACCCUAUGGAGCUUUAGACACUAAGGCAGCCAUGUCAAAAACCCUAUAAUAAAAGACUGAACCAAAUGAGCCUGCCCUAAUGUCUUUGGUUGGGGCGACCGCGGGGAACUAAAUAACCCCCAUGUGGAAUGGGAACACCUCUCCUAAAACGAAGAGCCACAGCUCUAAGCAACAGAACUUCUGACCUUCGAGAUCCGGCAAUGCCGAUCAACGAACCGAGUUACCCUAGGGAUAACAGCGCAAUCCUCUUUUAGAGCCCA
rnacentral:rRNA from 1 species